CUGAACCAGCCAUGCCGCGUGCAGGAUGAAGGCCUUCUGGGUUGUAAACUGCUUUUAUCUAGGAAAAAAACGCCCAUGCGUGGGAAACUGACGGUACUAGAUGAAUAAGCACCGGCUAACUCCGUGCCAGCAGCCGCGGUAAUACGGAGGGUGCAAGCGUUGUCCGGAUUUAUUGGGUUUAAAGGGUGCGUAGGCGGCCCGUUAAGUCCGUGGUGAAAGCCUCCAGCUCAACUGGAGAACUGCCAUGGAUACUGGCGGGCUUGAGUACAGACGAGGUUGGCGGAAUUGAUUGUGUAGCGGUGAAAUGCAUAGAUACAAUCAAGAACUCCGAUUGCGUAGGCAGCUAACUAGGCUGUAACUGACGCUGAGGCACGAAAGCGUGGGGAGCGAACAGGAUUAGAUACCCUGGUAGUCCACGCUGUAAACGAUGAUUACUCGAUGUUGGCGAUAAACUGUCAGCGUCUUAGCGAAAGCGUUAAGUAAUCCACCUGGGGAGUACGCCCGCAAGGGUGAAACUCAAAGGAAUUGACGG
rnacentral:rRNA from 1 species